GCCGGGAUAGCUCAGUCGGUAGAGCAGCGGACUGAAAAUCCGCGUGUCAUCAGUUCAAUUCUGAUUCCCGGCACCA
rnacentral:tRNA from 1 species